GCAGUCGAGCGGACAGAAGGGAGCUUGCUCCCGGAUGUUAGCGGCGGACGGGUGAGUAACACGUGGGUAACCUGCCUGUAAGACUGGGAUAACUCCGGGAAACCGGAGCUAAUACCGGAUAGUUCCUUGAACCGCAUGGUUCAAGGAUGAAAGACGGUUUCGGCUGUCACUUACAGAUGGACCCGCGGCGCAUUAGCUAGUUGGUGAGGUAACGGCUCACCAAGGCGACGAUGCGUAGCCGACCUGAGAGGGUGAUCGGCCACACUGGGACUGAGACACGGCCCAGACUCCUACGGGAGGCAGCAGUAGGGAAUCUUCCGCAAUGGACGAAAGUCUGACGGAGCAACGCCGCGUGAGUGAUGAAGGUUUUCGGAUCGUAAAGCUCUGUUGUUAGGGAAGAACAAGUGCAAGAGUAACUGCUUGCACCUUGACGGUACCUAACCAGAAAGCCACGGCUAACUACGUGCCAGCAGCCGCGGUAAUACGUAGGUGGCAAGCGUUGUCCGGAAUUAUUGGGCGUAAAGGGCUCGCAGGCGGUUUCUUAAGUCUGAUGUGAAAGCCCCCGGCUCAACCGGGGAGGGUCAUUGGAAACUGGGAAACUUGAGUGCAGAAGAGGAGAGUGGAAUUCCACGUGUAGCGGUGAAAUGCGUAGAGAUGUGGAGGAACACCAGUGGCGAAGGCGACUCUCUGGUCUGUAACUGACGCUGAGGAGCGAAA
rnacentral:rRNA from 1 species